rnacentral:rRNA from 1 species
GAUGAACGCUAGCGGCAGGCCUAAUACAUGCAAGUCGGACGGGAUCCAUCGGUAGCUUGCUAUCCAUGGUGAGAGUGGCGCACGGGUGCGUAACGCGUGAGCAACCUGCCUCCAUCAGGGGGCUAGCCUCUCGAAAGAGAGAUUAACACCGCAUAACAUAUCAGACCGGCAUCGGUCGGAUAUCAAAUAUUUAUAGGAUGGAGAUGGGCUCGCGUGACAUUAGCUUGUUGGUGGGGUAACGGCCCACCAAGGCGACGAUGUCUAGGGGCUCUGAGAGGAGAAUCCCCCACACUGGUACUGAGACACGGACCAGACUCCUACGGGAGGCAGCAGUAAGGAAUAUUGGGCAAUGGGCGGAAGCCUGACACAGCCAUGCCGCGUGCAGGAUGACUGCCCUAUGGGUUGUAAACUGCUUUUGUCCGGGAAUAAACCUCCUUACGUGUAGGGGGCUGAAUGUACCGGAAGAAUAAGGAUCGGCUAACUCCGUG